rnacentral:lncRNA from 1 species
CGAACAAAAAAUCUGCCAUCUAGUUUCAACUAACUACAUGCGACAGGAAGCAAACUCAAAAACCAAGUGAAGAGUCCAGGCUCAACAUUUAGUUUUUAAAACUUAAGGACCAAAUACACUCCAGCAUAGUAACGCUUUCAGCGACUGGUUAAUAUCACACCAGCUAUGAUGACAAUGACAUGGUGAUAAAUAUAAUAAGGCAACUAGAGUCACAGGUAUCCAAACGCAUCUGCAGCCAACUUAAGAGAAGCAGGUGCCGGGUUGGGCGUGGUGGCUCACACCUUAGUUCCCAGCACUCAGGAGGCAGAGGAAGGCAAAUCUCUGUUGAGGACAGGGGCCAGAGGGAGAGCAGGAGACAGAAUUCACUCUCUGGCCAGAGGCUCACACUGCUCAUGUUAUACAGCUUCCUCUCUCAGGUUUGGUUCAAUAGUGGCUGAAAACAGGGCAUUAUUUUAGGAAUGCUAGUUGGUUGGUUUGUUCAUGGUUUUAUAGUUCCUUAGAAAGAUUGGGAAAUAAAAUUUUGCUGAAUACAUAUAUCCUAAAUUAAAGACAGUGUAGGGUACAUUCUGGGACCACUAAAAUGAUGUGUGUUGACCUCCAAUGAACCAUGGAUAAUACUCAACCAUUCUGAGACUCUAUCAAGUUAAACAGAAAGG